UCUCUGAUAGUAUAUCGGUUAGUACACGCGCCUGUCACUCAAAAAGACCGCGCGAAAGCUGGGUUCGACUCCCAGUCAGAGAG